GACAGUGUAGCUCAGUUGGCAGAGCAUUGGGCUAGUAUUCCAAAGGUCGUAGGUUCGAAUCCCACCAUGGCCG
rnacentral:tRNA from 1 species